rnacentral:rRNA from 1 species
UACGUAGGGGGCGAGCGUUGUUCGGAAUUACUGGGCGUAAAGGGCGCGUAGGCGGCGUGUCAAGUCAGGCGUGAAGGCCCCGGGCUCAACCUGGGAACCGCGCUUGAGACUGGCAUGCUCGAGUUCGGGAGAGGAUGGUGGAAUUCCCAGUGUAGAGGUGAAAUUCGUAGAUAUCGGGAGGAACAUCGGUGGCGAAGGCGGCGACCCUGGGUGGGAUACUGACGC